rnacentral:lncRNA from 10 species
CAAUGGGUUCUUGACCCCUUCUGAGAUGCAAGGUUGUGCCUGAUGACCUUUGUCUCCCACACGGCCAGACAAACCCAGUUCCAAGUACCGUUUCAUGGGCUUCUGCUGCUUCCAAAGCCCAUCUUCACCCCCAUUCUGUGUGUUCAUUCUCUUCACAAAUAUCUACCAAGUAAGUGCCAUUUCAUGCUGUGCCCAGUGCCAGGUGCUGUUUUAACAGGAGGGCAGGUGGCCUGCAGCCUCUUCCUGCCCGUGUGACCUGCCCCAGGUCACUCCCUCUGGCAUUCAUCUGCCCUCGGGCAUAGGGGUGGAGGCUGCCAUGCCCAGGGCUAUGGGGAAACCCAGCCAGAUGGGGUGGAAGGACCCGAGAAGGCGCUGGAGCCCCUCAGCUGCCACUGCAGGAGUUCCCGUUUGAGAAAUUCUCAAGGGCACUUUAUCAGUUUCCUUCUUCCUGGAAUAACUCCUGGCAUGUAACAGGCACUCACUGGUGCCAGAUGCGUGAACACAAGCCUGCCACCUGCCACCUGCUGUGAGUCCUUGCUCCCUCACCUCCACUCCUGUCUAUCUCCGGCCCAGCCUCUCCCUCUCUGCCCCACGUCUCCCAAUCCUUGGCUGUCUCUGACCCCAUUUCUCCCCCUUUGACUUGGGCUUUUUCUUUUUUCUUUUUUGAGACGGAGUCUCGCUCUGUUGCCCAGGCUGGAGUACAAUGGCAUGAUCUUGGCUCACUGCAACCUCCACCUCCCGGGUUCAAGAGAUUCUCCUGUCUCAGCCUCCCAAGUAGCUGGGAUUACAGGCACGCACCACCACGCCUGGCUAAUUUUUGUAGUUUUAGUAGAGACGGGGGUUCCGCCAUGUUGCCCAGGCUGGUCUUGAACUCCUAGGCUCAAGCAAUCUGGCAAUCUGCCUGCCUUAGCCUCCCAAAGUGCUGGCAUUACAGGCGUGAGCCACCACGCCCGGCUGGCUCUUUUGGACACUUGACCACCUUCUCUGGGUCUCACACUCACAGCCACACCCAAACCCUCUCCCUCUGGCUCUCCGACUCCAUCACAGUCACCCCAGCCCCCAUCUCCCUGUGGCUCCAUCUGCUGUGUGGUGGCAGACAGGCCCC